rnacentral:rRNA from 1 species
CCCUUAGAUGUUCUGGGCUGCACGCGCGCUACACUGAACAGUUCAACAAGUCUUAACCUUGGCCGAUAGGUCUGGGUAAUCUUUGAACGCUGUUCGUGAUUGGGAUAGACCUUUGCAAUUAUGGGUCUUCAACGAGGAAUUCCUAGUAAACGCAAGUCAUCAGCUUGCAUUGAUUACGUCCCUGCCCUUUGUACACACCGCCCGUCGCACCUACCGAUUGAAUGGUCCGGUGAAAUCUCGGGACGGCGGCUCGGUCGCUUGCGUCCGACUGCUGAAACUUGAUUAAACCAUAUCAUUUAGAGGAAGGUGAANUCGUANCA